CGUGUUGUGCAGCACACUAUUUUACGCGCUGUGCACGAGGACACCUGACUAGCGGUGCAACUCAGUGUCACACGAACACCGAGGCCGACACAAGCGGAUCACAGAGCACGAUCGCGCGCUGGAACAUGGUAG
rnacentral:lncRNA from 1 species